rnacentral:rRNA from 1 species
CUCAGGAUGAACGCUGGCGGCGUGCCUGAGAUAUGCAAGUCGAGCGUCCCCAUGCGCAAGUGUGGGGAGCGGCGGACGGCUGAGUAAUACAUAGGAAUCUCCCCCUAGGUAGAGAAUAGUCCACCGAAAGGUGGGGUAAUACUCUAUGGUAUCCCGAUUUAUCGGGAUUAAAGGACGUAACUGUUCGCCAAGGGAUGAGCCUAUGGCCUAUCAGGUAGUUGGUGGGGUAAUGGCCUACCAAGCCUAUGACGGGUAGCUGGUCUGAGAGGAUGGUCAGCCAGAGGGGGACUGAGACACGGCCCCCACUCCUACGGGAGGCAGCAAUCAGGAAUAGUCGGCAAUGGGCGAAAGCCUGACCGCGCGACGCCGCGUGUAGGAAUAAGCUCUAACGAGCGUAAACUACUGUGGUAGGGGAAGAAGGUCUGAUGUAAGUCAGAUUUGACGGUACCCUAUUAGAAAGGAGCCGCUAACUGCGUGCCAGAAGCGUCGGUAAUACGUGGGCUCCGAGCGUUAUCCGGUUUUAUUGGGCGUAAAGGGUCGUGUAGGCGCCCCAUCAAGUUUUGUUUUAAAUCCUGUGGCUCAACCACAGCAAAGGACAAAAUACUGGCGGGGUAGAGUUUUCUUAAGGGAGACUAGAACUUAGGGAGGAGUAGUGAAAUGCGUUGAUACCCUAGGGAAUACCAGUGGCGAAGGCGAGUCUCUGGAAGAAAACUGACGCUGAGACACGAAAGCUAGGGGAGCGAAGCAGAUUAGAGACCUGCGUAGUCCUAGCCUUAAACGCAUGUUUGCUGGCUGCAUUUUUUCCGCCUUUAUGGUGGACUAGGUGUAGCGAAGGUAACCCGUUAAGCAAACCGCCUGGGGAGUACGGCCGCAAGGUUGAAACUCAAAGGAAUUGGCGGGGAGGCACACAACCAGUGGAACAUGUGGUUUAAUUCGAGACGAAACGAAGAACCUCACCAGGACUUGACAUACUAGCGUUCUAUCUUGCAGAAAUGUGAGAAAUGCGCAAGCAGGUUAGUACAGGUGUUGCAUGGCUGUCGUCAGCUCGUUCCGUGAGGAGUGCCCUUAAGUGGGACAACGAGCGCAACCCCUAUCUUGUGUUAAAUUUGUCACAAGAGACCGCCCCGACAUAACGUCGGGGAGGAAGGAGGGGCAGACGUCAAGUCAGCAUGAUCCUUAUGUCCUGGGCUACACACAUGUUACAAUGGACAGAAACAAUGGGCCUUGCCAACUUGCAAAGGUGAGCAAAUCCCAGAAAUCUGUUCUCAGUGGGGAUUGGGGUCUGCAACUCGACCCCAUGAACACGGAAUUGGUAGUAAUCGCGGGUCAGUCAUACCGCGGUGAAUACGUUCUUGCCUCUUGCACACACCGCCCGUCAAGCCAACAAAGUCGGAAGAAUUUGAACCCUCCUUUUUUGGAGGGGAGAAUUUUUUCGGCGAUGGGGGUUAAGUCGUAACAAGGUAU